rnacentral:rRNA from 1 species
UGGGGAAUUUUGGACAAUGGGCGAAAGCCUGAUCCAGCAAUGCCGCGUGUGUGAAGAAGGCCUUCGGGUUGUAAAGCACUUUUGUCCGGAAAGAAAUCCUUGGCUCUAAUACAGUCGGGGGAUGACGGUACCGGAAGAAUAAGCACCGGCUAACUACGUGCCAGCAGCCGCGGUAAUACGUAGGGUGCAAGCGUUAAUCGGAAUUACUGGGCGUAAAGCGUGCGCAGGCGGUUUGCUAAGACCGAUGUGAAAUCCCGGGCUCAACCUGGGAACUGCAUUGGUGCACUGGGCAGGCUAGAGUAUGGCAGAGGGGGGUAGAAUUCCACGUGUGAGCAGUGAAAUGCGUAGAGAUGUGGAGGAAUACCGAUGGCGAAGGCAGCCCCC